rnacentral:rRNA from 1 species
UACGGAGGGUGCGAGCGUUAAUCGGAAUUACUGGGCGUAAAGCGUGCGCAGGCGGCUUUGCAAGACAGAUGUGAAAUCCCCGGGCUCAACCCGGGAACUGCAUUUGUGACUGCAAGGCUAGAGUACGGCAGAGGGGGAUGGAAUUCCGCGUGUAGCAGUGAAAUGCGUAGAUAUGCGGAGGAACACCAAUGGCGAAGGCAAUCCCCUGGGCCUGUACUGACGCUCAUGCACGAAAGCGUGGGGAGCAAACAGG